GUUGAAAUAGCUCAAAGGGAGAGCGACAGACUGAAAAUCUGGAGAGCUUGGUUCAAUCCCAAGUUUCAAAA